GCAGUACUUUCUGUUGUCUCCUAGGAACGAAUCCAGAUACCCCACCCAUACAUGAUCUGAAAAUGCUAUGGGUGGCCUCUGCCAUAUGAAAUAGGAAGUGUUCCCAAACACAUCUAACUGUGUAAAUGUAACUGUAAAUGUCAUAGACCAACUUGUGGGCAAUUCAACUAUGUGAUUGGACUUUGAUUGGUGGACUAAUUUGAUUACCAUAUUAGGUUUGUAAGUUUAAGCUGAUUAUAAGCGAUAAUGUAUAAUUUCUGAUGAUAAAAAAAAGGAUUUUGUUCUCUUUUAUCUAUUACAAAAAACUUGAGAAUUACCUCAUCCGCUACUAUGUUAAAACAAAAAAAGAAACGUUAACUGUCACUGUGGAAUUUGAUAUAUAAACAUUUUAAUUGAUAGCAAAAAAAUAUAUACAUUUAAAAUGGGAACAAUUUGUCACGUAUAAUGUAAAAAUGGCAAGAUAAAAUAAAUUGAUGACACAUUGUUUCACUUUGAUGCAAAUUAUUAGUUACUGGUAACCAUAUCAGUUAGAAUCCCAGUGCCCCAGUGCUUGGCAUUAGACCAGGGAACUAAAUAUAUUACAUUCCAUCUGCCAGUCUAGUGAGUGGGCCACUAAUAUUUGCUGUUAAACCUCAUAUUACAUUCAACAUUUCUUUGGUUUCACCUUGAUUUCUACAUUCCUGUGCUAGUUACACACCACAGAACUGGUUCGGCACUUUCAAGGUACAAAGAUAAAGAACGUGAAUUAAAACGUAUCACUGGUCAGCACGGGCUGCAGACGAGAAAUAUGAGACGCAUUGAUAUUGACACGAAUGUGGCCUCUUUAAGUUUUGCCAUGUAUAACAGUACAACUUCUUGCUCGAUUUUAGUGUUCGAUGGAGUACCUUCUGGCUGUUGGUCAACUUCCCCCUAAACUGUUAAUGGUAUAUUUACAAUUGGCCUUUAGGUUUCUUUGAUUUAAGUAUUGUACCAUCUAUUUUCAAACAAUAGAGAGAGAAGGGCUGUGCCACAUAAAAUUGAAAAGGUAUUUCUAAAUAGUCUCGUCCCAACAAUACAAAUUGUCACAUAUAAAGAGGUUUCUUAUCAGGAGGUAGAUGCAGCUAUUUAGUUCUUUAUGCUUGGGGGAUGUGGUAGAGUAGAUCUGAGUAUCUUUAGUCUCCGUAUGUGGAUAGAGAAAGAGAAGGCAAGCUAAUAGUGCAAUAUGUCAACGCUUAAUGUGACAGUAUUUGAAUAAUAACGAUGUUGCACUCACAUGUAAGAGAGCUAUUGC